UAAAUAGAUGUGUAGAUUCGCUGGCGCAUACACACUAUAUCAUCUUAUCCAUAGUAAAAGUAAAGAAAAAAGCUGUUAGUCCUCGCUUGAAAAAUGUGGCCAAGACAGAUAAUAUACUAUCACUUACACAGAAUCCUUCUCGAGGUACCAAUAAUACACUGUGCUCUACUUUAUCAAGUCUGUUACAAGGUUCAUGCCCUCCUCAACGCAUCAGUGGUGCCAGCGCUCGCAGCUGCUCGAUGUCUAGAUCAAUACAUUUGUCUGUACCGUUACAAACACCUUAUAGAUUUGAACUAUUGAGACUAAGUACAUUUCACGCGUAUCCUAACAAAGCAACAUCGUGUCUUCUGUUAGCUCGCGAUGGCUUUCUUUGCAUCGGUACAGGAGCAGACGACAUGGUCACGUGCUAUUGUUGCCACGCAAGAAAAGGUAAUUGGUUAGAGAACGAUGUAGUUUCGGAAGUCCAUAAGAGUUUGUCUCCCUUUUGCCCUAUGGUGAAGGGCAUCAACUGUAAUAAUGUACCGGUUAACCCCGGAGAAAAGUCAUUUGAAAAUUUACUAAACAUUCUAAGCGAUAAAGUGGUACAUGAAAUGCCUCACCAUAGAGUGCCUAAUAGUGAUCUAUUAAGGGGAAUAUCAACUAAUCAGAGUAAGAAACUUUGUGCAGACGAUAAUGUGGAC
rnacentral:sRNA from 1 species